rnacentral:snoRNA from 1 species
GCCAAUUAUAAAUCGGUUUACAACUUAUAGCAUAUUGUUCGAUUUGCAUAAUUGUUGAUAGUCAUUAAACUAGGACGGUCUGAGGC